ACUUCAGGUUAUUAGAAAAACUUCAAAUAUCACCCAUAGAGUUUCACACUUUCUCAUUUUAGUACCUUAUGAUUUAAAAUGUAUUCAUUUAGUGUCCUGUAGUUUUAUUUUUAUCUUUUUCUUAUUUAUUUCACUAAUUUUUUUUGUUAAAUCAGUGACAAAGUUAAAACUAAAGUGUAUUUCACUAAUUUUUUUUGUUAAAUCAAUGACAAAGUUAAAACUAAAGGGCACUGAAGUGAAUAUUCAAUAAACCUAGGUGGGGUAUCUGAAGUUUUUUGUAUAUAAUUUAACGAAAUAUUAACGAAGAACCUGACGAAAAGAUAAAAUGUAUUACUUUAGUACACUUUCUCACCUUAGUACCUUAUGAUUUAAAAUGAAUUAAUUUAGUGUCAUAUAGUUUCAUUUUUAUCUUUUGCUUAUUUAUUUCACUAAUUUUUUUUGUUAAAUCAGUGAUAAAGUUAAAACUAAAGGGCACUAAAGUGAAUAUUCAAUAAACCUAGGUGGGAUAUCUGAAGUUUUUUGUAUAUAAUUUAACGAAAUAUUAACGGAGAACCUGACGAAAAGAUAAAAUGUAUUACUUUAGUACACUUUCUCACUUUAGUACAUUAUGAUUUAAAAUGUAUUAAUUUAGUGUCAUAUAGUUUCAUUUUUAUCUUUUUCUUAUUUAUUUCACUAAUUUUUUUUGUUAAAUCAGUGAUAAAGUUAAAACUAAAGGGCACUAAAAUGAAUAUUCAAUAAAGCUAGGUGGGGUAUCUGAAGUUUUUUGUAUAUAAUUUAACGAAAUAUUAAUAAAGAAGCUGACGAAAAGAUAAAAAUAAAAUCACAGGGCACUAACUUGACACACUUUAAACUACAGGGUACUAAAGUGAGAAAGUGCAAAACUACAGGGGUGGUAUUUGAAAUUUACCCUUUACAAUUUUAUGAAUACUAGUUGAGUAUACGUGUUAAUACACAUAACAAUUAUUUUAAUUUAUUUUAAACUAAUAUAAAUUUAUACAUUAUAUUUAUUUAAAAAUUUAUAAUGAAAAUUAUAUUUUAUCAAUUAAUUUUUUUUAUAUACAUUAAAUAUUUUUAUAUAUUUUUCGAUUUCUUAUGAUCUAAAAUUUAAGUAUGUUUUAAACGAAAAGUAUCAAAAUUUAAUUCAUAUUUAUAUAAAAAUUUAAAAUUUAAUUUUGAUCCAUUAUAAUUAAAAAAAAAUUAAUUGUUAAUUCAAAUUUGAUAUUAAAAAUUAAAUUUAAUUCACGAUUUAAAUUCUAAUUUAAAUUUUAAUGUAAAAUAGAUGGAUAGAAAUACUAUGUUUUAACAGAUUGAUCAUAACCGUUCGUUUUUAUUUGAAAUAUUUUUAACGAAUUGAUCAUAACUGUUCGUGGGAUUAGAUUUAUAAAUGGAUAUAAAUGCUAUUUUUAACAGAAUAAUCAUAACUGUUCGUUCGUUCAUUCGUUCUUAUUUGAGAUAUUUUUUAAUACACUGAUUAUAAUUAUUUACAGGGAAUAUUUGUUUUUUUUUUUUUGAUACGUCCGUUAUUAUAGGAACUCCUAUAUACUUUUAUAAAUAGUAUAGAUAUAGAUGAGUUCUAAUUAUUUAUUUGUUCAAUUACUGCAAGUGCCUACGUAUACCCGCGAAUAUAUUUUAAUUAAAAUUAUAUUUUUUUAAUCUAUCCAUAAUACUCAAAGUUUUAAAUUUGAAAUCUAAUUACUUUAUAUUUUUAACCUAAUUUAUUU
rnacentral:lncRNA from 1 species